UCACGANGAACUCCGAUUGCGAAGGCAGCUUGCUGGACUGUAACUGACGCUGAGGCACGAAAGCGUGGGGAUCAAACAGGAUUAGAUACCCUGGUAGNCCACNCNNUAAACGAUGAAUGCUAGCUGUUAGCGAUAUACUGUUAGCGGCACAGAGAAAUCGUUAAGCAUUCCACCUGGGGAGUACGCCGGCAACGGUGAAACUCAAAGGAAUUGACGGGGGCCCGCACAAGCGGAGGAACAUGUGGUUUAAUUCGAUGAUACGCGAGGAACCUUACCUGGGCUUAAAUUGCAGUGGAAUAACGUGGAAACAUGUUAGCCUUCGGGCCGCUGUGAAGGUGCUGCAUGGUUGUCGUCAGCUCGUGCCGUGAGGUGUCGGCUUAAGUGCCAUAACGAGCGCAACCCUCAUCGAUAGUUACUAACAGGUUAAGCUGAGGACUCUAUCGAGACUGCCGACGUAAGUCGUGAGGAAGGUGGGGAUGACGUCAAAUCAGCACGGCCCUUACGUCCAGGGCUACACACGUGUUACAAUGGGGGGUACAAAGGGCAGCUACCUGGCGACAGGAUGCUAAUCUCAAAAACCUCUCUCAGUUCGGAUUGGAGUCUGCAACCCGACUCCAUGAAGCUGGAUUCGCUAGUAAUCGCGCAUCAGCCACGGCGCGGUGAAUACGUUCCCGGGCCUUGUACACACCGCCCGUCAAGCCAUGGGAGCCGGGGGGACCUGAAGUAUGCAACCGUAAGGAGCGUCCUAGGGUAAAACUGGUGACUGGGGCU
rnacentral:rRNA from 1 species